rnacentral:lncRNA from 1 species
UGUUACAUAGUGUUGCUAAUGGCUAGCAUAUACACGUUUUUUUUACUAGGAACAUUUAGUUAGUUGUUAACUUGGUUUUAUGUUAAUAAAAAAUCUCCUAAAUACAUGGAUAUAGUAGCAGCAUGUUCUGUGAAAAAAUUUUGCUUCCUGUUUUCCCUUGAUUAUUUUAUUUAGUUAUUUUAGUGGAUAAGUAGGCUUUUAACUUACAAGUUCCUGUUUAUGGGUUUUUUUGCAGCUUCUUGGGUGCCAUGGACCAUUGGCUAACCGUCAACCUGGAAGAGCAUUUUUGCAAACCAGUGCUACUGCUUAGUUAUAUAGUCUAUUUAUCUGGGAAAUAGGAGACUUUGGACAAUAAUAGUUUUGAAAUAGUCGUGUGUUGCUUUCCCUUUCAAUUGUCUUAAAACUAAGUUGGUUUAUUGCUGUUUUACAUCAAAUACCUCGAGUGGAAUUGUUAUUAAGUCCUAUUUUGGUAAUUUUGAUGAUCCACUUAUGUUUAUUUUUUGUUUACAUUUGUUUAUGCAUUUUUAUUGCUUUACCAUUACCUUCCCCCUCUGCCCUUCCGGUUUAUUUGAUCGUUUAUUUCGAAUCAUUAAGAUGGUGUUUCCAUCAUAUGUAUAUUCCUAUCUCCAUAACAAAUGAUACAUGAAUUUUAGGGAAGAAAGGUUGGAGCAGUAAUUAGAAUUAAGAAGUUCCAACCAUUCUUUAAUUUUUAGGCAACUUGUUAUUUUCUUUCUUGAUGUUAUGGUGGUGUCGAUAGAAAAUGCGGGGUGCUUUUCGGUCUGCAUAUUUAAUAUUAAUUUAAGCAAUUGGGUCGUCUAAUUGAAAGGAAAUAGUCCUUUUCAAAUUUUUUCUUGUGAUCUAAUUUUUAGUCUCUCAAUUGCUAUAAAAUGUAAUUUUCAUCGUAUACUAGUCAAGUAUUUAUGUAAAAUCAAAAGAAAACAUGGGUUAGAAAAUGUUGAAUAGUAUAAAAUCUUAAAGGAUUUAACUAUUCUGUGUCUAUUGGACAUAUUUUAAGAAUAUAAUAAAAUUUUUUAAAGUUUUUGAUGUAUUUAAUAAGUUCCCUGGUCGCCAGAAGAUUAUUAUUAGCAGGAAGUGGUAUGUAUUUGUUACAUUGGAAACUAUGGAUUCCCCCAAUCAUUUAAUUCUGUUGACGUUAACUUUUAUAAUCAUAGUGAUUUUUCUUUGAUAAACUCUCUAUCUUGGUUUUGAUGUUUCUCAGGGGAUUCACCAAGUUCAGCCGAGCUGACUAUCUGAAGUUUAAGCAGGAAAAUAGGAUUAUGCCUGAUGGUGUGAAUGCAAAGGUAAUCAAUGGCAUGUUAGUGUUACAUAGUGUUGCUAAUGGCUAGCAUAUACACGUUUUUUUUACUAGGAACAUUUAGUUAGUUGUUAACUUGGUUUUAUGUUAAUAAAAAAUCUCCUAAAUACAUGGAUAUAGUAGCAGCAUGUUCUGUGAAAAAAUUUUGCUUCCUGUUUUCCCUUGAUUAUUUUAUUUAGUUAUUUUAGUGGAUAAGUAGGCUUUUAACUUACAAGUUCCUGUUUAUGGGUUUUUUUGCAGCUUCUUGGGUGCCAUGGACCAUUGGCUAACCGUCAACCUGGAAGAGCAUUUUUGCAAACCAGUGCUACUGCUUAGUUAUAUAGUCUAUUUAUCUGGGAAAUAGGAGACUUUGGACAAUAAUAGUUUUGAAAUAGUCGUGUGUUGCUUUCCCUUUCAAUUGUCUUAAAACUAAGUUGGUUUAUUGC